rnacentral:rRNA from 1 species
AGGCCUUCGGGUUGUAAAGCACUUYCAGUCGUGAGGAAGGCGGGUACGUUAAUAGCGUAUUCGUUUGACGUUAGCGACAGAAGAAGCACCGGCUAACUCCGUGCCAGCAGCCGCGGUAAUACGGAGGGUGCGAGCGUUAAUCGGAAUUACUGGGCGUAAAGCGCAUGCAGGUGGAUGAUUAAGUCAGAUGUGAAAGCCCGGGGCUCAACCUCGGAACAGCAUUUGAAACUGGUCAUCUAGAGUACUGUAGAGGGGGGUAGAAUUUCAGGUGUAGCGGUGAAAUGCGUAGAGAUCUGAAGGAAUACCGGUGGCGAAGGCGGCCCCCUGGACAGAUACUGACACUCAGAUGCGAAAGCGUGGGGAGCAAACAGGAUUAGAUACCCUGGUAGUCCACGCCGUAAACGAUGUCUACUUGGAGGUUGUGGCCUUGAGCCGUGGCUUUCGGAGCUAACGCGUUAAGUAGACCGCCUGGGGAGUACGGUCGCAAGAUUAAAACUCAAAUGAAUUGACGGGGGCCCGCACAAGCGGUGGAGCAUGUGGUUUAAUUCGAUGCAACGCGAAGAACCUUACCUACUCUUGACAUCCUCAGAAGAGACUGGAGACAGUCUUGUGCCUUCGGGAACUGAGAGACAGGUGCUGCAUGGCUGUCGUCAGCUCGUGUUGUGAAAUGUUGGGUUAAGUCCCGCAACGAGCGCAACCCUUAUCCUUGUUUGCCAGCAC